UGUUGUCGUCGUUCCUGUUCUGGUUGUUUCGGCGUGACAUUGGUGGCUCGGACUGUUCUGACUGUGUGUUUGUGUCUUGCUGGUAACGUCUGGACAUGUUUCUCUGUUUGUACGCCUUGGAAGAUACGACCAGAAGCCGUUGGGUUUCGUGAAUGGAAGACGCUUUUGACAGAUUUGUUUCUGUGCACAAGACAAAUGGGCUGUCGCACCCCCGACGUAGGAAAUGAACACACACGUCGCUGAGAUCUUAAAAGACAAAGAAACCAGUGCCAUCACCUAUGCUGCUGCCACAUCUAGCAGAAGGAUUUCACUGGAUACUGCUAGCACCUCCACUCCUGUGACCCCUAACAGAGGGAUUAUAUUGGUAAGAACUAUCAGGAGGGGUACUGUUUCAUCUCAGACCACAGAGGGAAUG